GACGGCGGGAGGGCAGGCCGGUAGGCUGGAGAGCGGCGGGGCCGCAGCGCAGAAGCGCCCACCUUGGAGGCCAAAAUCAGGUUAAAAUGGCGGCCUCACUCCCGGGGCCGUGCGGGGGGCUUUUCUCGCCACGCCGCGGCCUCCCGGCCGGCGCGCCCCUCUUACCAUAGUGCCCUCGGCUGUGGCUGCGGCGGCAGCUCGGGCUCCGGCUCUGUGGCACUGGGAGGAGAAGGAGGGGCAGGCGGGUGGGCAGCGGCGAGUGCGGGGCACGCCGGGAGCUGCAGCCCGAGGGAGGCGGCGGGGCUCGGCGGGCCGCAGGCGGCGGGCGGGGCAGUCACGUGGGCACGCCCGGUUCCCCCGCCGGCGCCGCCCGCUCCCAGGCAGGCCCUCGUCUCGCGGCCCCGGCCCCCCAGCUGCCCGCGUCCUCGACGUGACCCCAGAGCGCGAGUCCUGCAGGCCGGGGGAGCGGCGCGGCGGUAGCAGAGCCCCGGCGGCCUGGCAGAGCCGCCUUCAGGCCCCGGGCACCACCCGUCAGCCGGCGGGAGAACCUGCUGGACGCCCAGAGGGGCGUUUCCACCGCCUCCGUGGGGCCCUGCGCCAGGAAAUCUCAAAGUAGAAUUUUGAUGAUGUCACUUUGUCAUUCAGAAACCUUUCCCUCACACUGAUAGCCUAUCUCCAUCUCCUGCUGUCCUGUGCAAAACAGAUCUUUCAAAGGCAUGAACCAUCAAACAGGAAAUGCUGCUCUCCAACCUGCCCUUGCAGCCAAGCUCCAAAGAAGUGAUCAUUAGUGGAACUUCUCCCUGGACUCUUCAGUCAAAACCCUUAAUGAGUAACCUCAAUCUCCAUAAUCUAUCCAAAAUUGAAGGCGGCCUUAAAGUAUUCUUGGCUUUCAGAGUCUGCUGACCAAGGAAUAAGGAGAUCAGGAAGAAUGUGUAUCUUGUUACACCAUAGAUGUGUUCCUCAUAAUUCAAAUUUAAGCCAGUGGAAUUUAGAUAAUCUUGUUUCUAUAAAGAAAUACAUUCCUAAACUCUGUAACUUGCAAACUAAGGGGAUAACCUAAAUUAAAGAUGAGGUGGUGUAAAUUUCUAGUAGCUUGAAAAAAUGCUUAAUCCUGAAUGACCAGAGAUUAGGGGGAGGAAAAAAAAUAAAAAUAAUUUUCAUUAAAAAUUUACCUG